UACAGAGGUGGCAAGCGUUGUUCGGAAUUACUGGGCGUAAAGCGCGCGUAGGCGGCUUUGUAAGUCAGAGGUGAAAGCCUGGAGCUCAACUCCAGAACUGCCUUUGAGACUGCAUCGCUUGAAUCCGGGAGAGGUGAGUGGAAUUCCGAGUGUAGAGGUGAAAUUCGUAGAUAUUCGGAAGAACACCAGUGGCGAAGGCGGCUCACUGGACCGGCAUUGACGCUGAGGUGCGAAAGCGUGGGGAGCAAACAGG
rnacentral:rRNA from 1 species